rnacentral:rRNA from 2 species
GAUGACCUGAUGAAAGUUCUCUUCUGUCAUCCACCAGGUAAGCAAUUCCUGAUCAAGAAAAUUCCAGUUCGAUUGUGGCAUGACUCGGGUACCAAUUCGCGGUCGCGGUAAAACCAUCCCUUUUGCCGUUAACGUUUUGACCGCUUCGCGUACCGCUGUACGACUCACUCCAAAUUGCUCGCCCAGCUCAAUCUCACCAGGCAAAAUGGUGCCGGGUUCAUAUUCACCUUUUAAGAUCCGCUGCGCCAGCUUCUCAGCCAGAACAUACGAAAGGUUUUUCUGUGCAGCUAACUGUUGUGCGCUUAAAGGCAUUACNNNNNCAUUCCAUUCAUUAAUUAAUUAAUGAAUGAAUGNNNNNCGAAGCGUGGGGAGCAAACAGGAUUAGAUACCCUGGUAGUCCACGCCGUAAACGAUGUCGACUUGGAGGUUGUGCCCUUGAGGCGUGGCUUCCGGAGCUAACGCGUUAAGUCGACCGCCUGGGGAGUACGGCCGCAAGGUUAAAACUCAAAUGAAUUGACGGGGGCCCGCACAAGCGGUGGAGCAUGUGGUUUAAUUCGAUGCAACGCGAAGAACCUUACCUGGUCUUGACAUCCACGGAAGUUUUCAGAGAUGAGAAUGUGCCUUCGGGAACCGUGAGACAGGUGCUGCAUGGCUGUCGUCAGCUCGUGUUGUGAAAUGUUGGGUUAAGUCCCGCAACGAGCGCAACCCUUAUCCUUUGUUGCCAGCGGUCCGGCCGGGAACUCAAAGGAGACUGCCAGUGAUAAACUGGAGGAAGGUGGGGAUGACGUCAAGUCAUCAUGGCCCUUACGACCAGGGCUACACACGUGCUACAAUGGCGCAUACAAAGAGAAGCGACCUCGCGAGAGCAAGCGGACCUCAUAAAGUGCGUCGUAGUCCGGAUUGGAGUCUGCAACUCGACUCCAUGAAGUCGGAAUCGCUAGUAAUCGUGGAUCAGAAUGCCACGGUGAAUACGUUCCCGGGCCUUGUACACACCGCCCGUCACACCAUGGGAGUGGGUUGCAAAAGAAGUAGGUAGCUUAACCUUCGGGAGGGCGCUUACCACUUUGUGAUUCAUGACUGGGGUGAAGUCGUAACAAGGUAACCGUAGGGGAACCUGCGGUUG